rnacentral:rRNA from 1 species
GUCAAGUCAUCAUGGCCCUUAUGGCCAGGGCUACACACGUGCUACAAUGGUCGGUACAGAGGGUUGCCAAGCCGCGAGGUGGAGCUAAUCCCAGAAAACCGGUCGUAGUCCGGAUCGGAGUCUGCAACUCGACUCCGUGAAGUCGGAAUCGCUAGUAAUCGCGAAUCAGCAAUGUCGCGGUGAAUACGUUCCCGGGCCUU